UACGUAGGGGGCAAGCGUUGUCCGGAAUCAUUGGGCGUAAAGCGCGCGUAGGCGGCCCGGUAAGUCCGCUGUAAAAGUCCAGGGCUCAACCCUGGAAAGCCGGUGGAUACUGUCGGGCUAGAGUCCGGAAGAGGCGAGUGGAAUUCCUGGUGUAGCGGUGGAAUGCGCAGAUAUCGGCAGGAACACCCAGGGGGAAACCAGUGGACUGGGCAGGAGCUGACGCUCAGGUGCGAAAGCGUGGGGAGCGAACCGG
rnacentral:rRNA from 1 species